AUGUUACGGAGAUAUAUCGUGCCAUUUGUUUAUAGGUUUCCUUUUAUUGCUUUCUACUUCCUCGUGUUUGUACUGAUGUGGUGUGUGUCUGUGUGUCAGUUCAUCACUCUUUCAUGUGACACUGACAUGGUGCUGCUCAUCCCCCUCAUCUUUACACUCUUUCUGGAGGUAAAAUCUCAAGGAUUCUCUGAUCAGUUUUGGCUGACAGCAUCUCCAGCAUCAGUUCAGAAAGACUCAAGCGCAGUGCAGCUGACACAUGAUGAACAUGACGCUCAGUCUGAUUUGAAUGAGCGGCCGGACAUUAAAGUCAUCCAUGAUUCUGAAAAGAGUGAAUUUAGAAUUCUUUGUGACAUACCAGGAUCAGAUGAUGGUGGUUAUACUUGUUUUCUUUCUCUUGGAGAUGAAUAUCCACAAUUUAAAAAGAUGCAAUCUCAUGAACUGUCUGGAAAAACACAGUGUCGUUUUACAGUCUUGGAAUAUGAAUUUUCAAAUAAUCUGAAGUCAGUGGAGAAUAAAGUAGUGAGCUGCAGUUAUUCUCCAAAAAAUGCAUCAUCCAAACGAUCAUAUAGUGAGAAGUACAACCUUACAGCUUUUUUUCCUGUGAAAAUUCAGUCACCACCAACAACAAAGGGAUCAUUAUGUAAGUUCAUCUAA
ensembl:lncRNA